GGAUUGUUUUAAUAUGUGAACAAAAAAGAAGGUUAACAGAUCUGAUUGUUUACUUUCACCUUUCCUUUUCAUUAUAUUUAAUAAUUCUGUUCAUGAUAAUGUAAAUUGUUCAGAAAAUUGUUUUCUUAGUACCUGUUGGAAUGUUACAUAAUUUUUUUUUCUUAGCCAUCAUUGCCAGAAUUCCUAUCUUCAUUCCAGUGCCAGUGAAGACAAAGAUAAAACCAAACUACAGCUUCUACGAUAGCUAUUAAACUGAUGCAUCAAUGAAUAAUAACUGAACAAGUAAUGCUCAAUCAAGGAGUUGAUUUACUUUGGGAGGAAAUGGACAUAUUAAUGGAUUCCUCUGCUUUGAACUGCUUGCAGAACUUGCCUGGACUAUGUAUCACUUGUAUGCAUUGUGAACUAUCUGUUGGUGCAGUGAAUUGUGGUAGUGCUGGCGUAUCUUUGCAGAUGGUGUCAUUGGUGAUACAAUUUUUCCAAAAAGAGCCGUUAUUUGGCUUGGUGUUGUGGCAUUUUGCAUCCUCCUCCCUUCUGCUAGUGAUGGUCUAAAAUUUGGGGGCCAACAGAGGUGAGGCAAAGAACCUCACCCCCCACUGGCACCAAGGCCAAAUUUGGGGGCAACAGAGGUGAGGCAAAGAACCUAACCCCCCCACUGGUGCAUAGGCCUAUCCACAAGUAUGGCUGUAUGCUGGACCGGUAGUCAGUGAUGGGUAAGAUCCAAUUGCAAUGGUACCAACCUAAGACAGGAGGCUGAUGCCUUGAGGCCAGCUCAUCCGAUGACGGGUAAGAACCACAUGUAGUAUUGGACAACCUAAGACAGGCACAGUCCCUAAGCCACAUUGCUUGUUGUUUAAUUAAACAGAAGGGGGGAGAUGUUGAGGGCCACAGCCAAGUUGGGAUGAUGCAUGGCAUUUUUGGCAGAAGUAGUGGUUGAGAGGUGAUGCUAGCGCGCCAUUAAGAUGAUGACUUUUGAGUUCUUGUGGAGUUCCCGUUGAGUUCCGGUUGAGCUCUCAUGGGGAUUCCUGAAGAGUUCGCUUUGGUUGGUGUGUGGUGUUCCUGGAGGAGCCGCGUGGGUGGCGUUCAGGAGAGUUCUCAGGGAGCGUGUGCGGAGUGUGCUGAUGGAGUUCAGAAAUAAAAUUUGUUCCUGCUUGAGUGGCUCGUUAUUUGUGCCCAGCCAGACUGGGGCAGUGGGUAGACCAAUGGAACAGAAUAGAGGAUGCAGAGACCAAUCCACAAAAUUACAACUACCUUAUAUUAGACAAAAGUGCUAAAAGCAUGCAAUGGAGGAAGGAUACCAUCUUCAACAAAUGGUGCUGGGAGAACUGGAAACCCAUAUGCAACAAAAUGAUAUUGAAUCCCUAUCUCUCACCUUACACAAAAGUUAACUCAAAAUGGAUCAAGGAUCUAGGAAUUAAACCAGAAACUCUGUCUAAUAGAAGAAACAGUUGGCCCCAAUCUCCAUCUCUUGGGAUCAGGCUCCAAAUUCCUUAAUAGGACACCUAUAGCACAAGAGAUAAAAUCAAGAAUCAACAAAUGGGACAUAUUCAAACUAAAAUGUUUUUUCUCAGCAAGAGAAACAAUAAGAGAGGUAAAUAGGGAGCCUACAUCCUUGGAACAGAUAUUUACCCCUCACACUCAGAUAGAGCUCUAAUCUCCAGAGUAUACAAAGAACUCAAAAAUUUAAACAACAAGAAAACAAAUAAUGCAAUCAACAAAUGGGCCAAGGAUCUGAACAGACACUUCUCAGAGGAGGAUAUACAAUCAAUCAACAAAUACACGAAAAAAUGCUCACCAUCUCCAGCAAUCAGAGAAAUGCAAAUUAAAACCACUCUAAGAUACCAUCUCACUCCAGUAAGAAUGGCAGCCGUUAUGAAGUCAAACAAUAACAAGUGCUGGCGAGGAUGUGGGGAAAAGGGUACACUUGUACAUUGCUGGUGGGACUGCAAAUUGGCACAGCCAAUUUGGAAAGCAAUAUGGAGAUUCCUUGAAAGCAAUAUGGAGAUUCCUUGAAAGCUAGGAAUGGAACUACCAUUUGACCCAGCUAUUCCCCUUCUCAGACUAUAUCUGUGUUUCUUCUUUUGAGAAGUUUCUGUUUAGUUCUUUUACACAUUGAUUUUGAUUUUUGAACUGGCUAGGCCACCUAUUUAUAUUGAGUUUGUCAAAUUCCUGUAUGGAUGCUCACUAAGGUGGCAUUUCAUUUGUGAUUAGCAUUUAAUCAGUCAUCACUGAGCAAAGCUGAUUGCUGUCUGUGAUAUGCCUGGGUCUCAUGCAGAGAGAGUCAAAGGCCUUUAGCGCAAAUACUGAGAUUUCUAAAGUAUUGUCCUGCUGAAUUCAGUCUCAAGACUUAGAUCUUACCUCUGGCCGAAUUAUCAGGCUGCAGCCUGACCAGCAAUUUAAACCUCACCAGCCACAAUGUGAAACAAUUCAAUAGAAUAGUUGUCUCUUUUUGUAUGUGCAUCUAUGUAUAAACAUAUCUAUUAUAGCAAUACAGUCCUCCCCUGCUGUAAUGGUGGUGUUGUUAUUGUAAACUGCAUACAUAGUGUUGUUCUCUUAAGAUUACAAAGAAGCUGAAAAAUUUCUAUCGCCUUGUUAAGUUGUCCUGUCCUAAGGUUGAAGUGCAACAUAUUACUUAUGUGUAUCUGUGACAAUGCCAGUCAUGUACAAGUAUCACACAAUUAUGUGCAGUAGAUAAUAUUUGAUCAUGAUAAUAAACAACUAUGUUAUUGUCUGUGUAUUUAUCAUAUGAUAAUUCUCAUUGUCAAUCACAGUGUACUCCUUCUAAUUAUAAAAAUAUUUAGAUAAAACCACAUGUUGUACUAUGCUUACAGCAGCCUCAUACCUCUUGUCAUAUUCAGUCUCUUUAGAUUGAGAGAUGAAUUCUUUGCUCCCCUGCACCAAGGGGGCUGGCACUGUCUCUUGAUUGCUUCAUAUCUCUUGUGCUGGAUUCAGUCUCAUGUUUCUUUACUCAUGGUCUCAUGUUGCUUUCCUUCAUUAUAAAUAAGAAAUUUGUAACACCUUCUUCAUCCCCCCUCAGGAUUUGUGCUACAUCAUAUGUAUUUUCCAGUUAAUAAAGUCUCAACAAAAUACAGUUUUAUUAAUUUUUUGUUAAAUAGUCAAAUAGAGUUUUCUCUUGUUAUCUAUGUGAUCACCAUAUCUGUUGUUUUCCG
rnacentral:lncRNA from 1 species